UACGUAGGGUGCAAGCGUUAAUCGGAAUUACUGGGCGUAAAGCGUGCGCAGGCGGCUUUGCAAGACAGAUGUGAAAUCCCCGGGCUCAACCUGGGAACUGCAUUUGUGACUGCAUGGCUAGAGUACGGUAGAGGGGGAUGGAAUUCCGCGUGUAGCAGUGAAAUGCGUAGAUAUGCGGAGGAACACCGAUGGCGAAGGCAAUCCCCUGGGCUAACACUGACGCUCAUGCACGAAAGCGUGGGGAGCAAACAGG
rnacentral:rRNA from 1 species